GAUGAAGAACGCAGCGAAAUGCGAUAAGUAAUGUGAAUUGCAGAAUUCAGUGAAUCAUCGAAUCUUUGAACGCACAUUGCGCCGCCUGGUAUUCCGGGGGGCAUGCCUGUCCGAGCGUCAUUACAACCCUCAAGCUCAGCUUGGUGUUGGGCCCCGCCGCCCCGGCGGGCCCUAAAGUCAGUGGCGGUGCCGUCCGGCUCCGAGCGUAGUAAUUCUUCUCGCUCUGGAGGUCCGGUCGUGUGCUCGCCAGCAACCCCCAAUUUUUUUCAGGUUGACCUCGGAUCAGGUAGGGAUACCCGCUGAACUUAAGCAUAUCAAUAAGCGGAGGA
rnacentral:misc_RNA from 1 species